rnacentral:piRNA from 1 species
UGUUCAUUCACAAUGAUCUUCUACUCGC